AUGAAAACUCCUCGAUCCCCUCCUAGCGCCGCCGCACGUCAUCAAUUCCCAGCUGGCCACCUCGUCCCCUCGACUCUUUGGAGCAGGCGAGCAGCCACAGCCCGCAGGUCUCCAACUCUCCAUAACUCUCAGCUCCAGUCCUCUCCUCUCCCACAUGUUCUUCUCCAACUCUCCGUCCAAUCGACGCUGAUCGGUCGCCGGCUCGUCGCCGGCAGAAGACAUCCGUGUCUCCCUUGCAGGAGAUCGGCCAUAGGGUCUUCUUCAGUUAGAAGUGACGCAGGUAGUGGAGGUAGCGUGGAUGCAGUCCAUGUAUUGGCUACUGCUCGUGUGAUUCCGGAAGAUGAUAAUGAGAAGAAGCCUUUGUGGAGGUACGUCCAGAUGUUGGAAAAUACUGGGAAAGGGAAAGGAGGCAACAAGAGAUCCAUGCAGUAUUUGUUAAGCAAUCGUGAAGACUUCAAGUUUUUUAAUAAAACAGUGCAUUUCCUAUAA
rnacentral:rRNA from 1 species